rnacentral:pre_miRNA from 1 species
AAUGACCAACUUUAGCCGGUUGAAGCCGGGCCAAAUCGUUAUAAAUCCUGUACAAAACAAAAAUGCAGGUCGCCAAUACAUUUGGUCCCCUUCAACCAGCUGUGGUUGGCAUGCCGU